rnacentral:rRNA from 1 species
AUUGAACGCUGGCGGCAUGCCUUACACAUGCAAGUCGAACGGUAACAGGUCUUCGGACGCUGACGAGUGGCGAACGGGUGAGUAAUGCAUCGGAACGUGCCCAGUCGUGGGGGAUAACUGCUCGAAAGAGCAGCUAAUACCGCAUACGACCUGAGGGUGAAAGCGGGGGACCGUAAGGCCUCGCGCGAUUGGAGCGGCCGAUGUCAGAUUAGCUAGUUGGUGGGGUAAAGGCCUACCAAGGCAACGAUCUGUAGUUGGUCUGAGAGGACGAGCAGCCACACUGGGACUGAGACACGGCCCAGACUCCUACGGGAGGCAGCAGUGGGGAAUUUUGGACAAUGGGCGCAAGCCUGAUCCAGCAAUGCCGCGUGCAGGAAGAAGGCCUUCGGGUUGUAAACUGCUGUUGUCAGGGAAGAAAUCUUCUGGGCUAAUACCCCGGGAGGAUGACGGUACCUGAAGAAUAAGCACCGGCUAACUACGUG